rnacentral:lncRNA from 1 species
AUUGAUGACUUUCGUCUUUGUUAUCAGUCCACUACGACCGUCUAUGAUUCUUUCGAAUUUUGAUUGGUGAACGCUCCAGAGUAUUACCUCAACGUUCUGAUAGCUCCAGAGUAUUAGCUCAACUAUCAACACUAAAAUCUUAAGAUUUUAGGAGAAAUGAAAAACUUCAUUCAAACUUAAUUUCAUUCUGAUUACAAACGAGCAUCAAGGCUCUUAUUUAUAGCGGAGUAGGACUUACAAGUAGUUCACAUGUCCCUAUCCGUGACAGCUAUUAAAGCAAAAGAAAAACGCACUAAAGAAAACGGACAAACAAUAAUUUACAUAAAGUAGAUGCCUUAGUGAUAAGGCAGUCUUAUUCGACCCUACAUAGUGGGUGGCUGCUUUN